GUCCACGCCGUAAACGAUGCAUACAAGCUGUAGUGGGGAUUUACUCCUGCUGUGGCGAAGCUAACGCAAUUAGUAUGCCGCCUGGGGAGUACGGUCGCAAGACUAAAACUCAAAGGAAUUGACGGGGGCCCGCACAAGCGGUGGAUUAUGUGGUUUAAUUCGAAGCAACGCGAAAAACCUUACCUAGGUUUGACAUCCCAAGACAUCCGUGGAAACACGGCUUUCUCGCAAGAGACUUGGAGACAGGUGCUGCAUGGCUGUCGU
rnacentral:rRNA from 1 species